UGUUGCACAAAAGUAGAAUUAAGACAUCCAGGCUAAAUGGCUGAGCUGAGCUCAAUGAAGCCAAAACAAGUGCGUCCACGCUUAAUUGGUUGCACAAAGACGAAGCCAGGAUGAUCAGACACGGAUUCAUCAAGCCAGGUGAAACCAAUCCUGGAUAGGUGCGCGCUCACGGCUCACUCAACUAGACCCCGCCACCGAUCACAGAUUCACCGAUUCACCAUGGCAACUAGCGGCGUUCUUUUCCCCGUCAGAGGCACAAAUCCAUACGAGGAGGUAAAAGACAUAAUUAAGAAGAAAGGCAACACCGCCACAGUGGUAAAGCAGAGAGAAAAAGCGUGGCAAAGUAUUGCAGACCGCCUGAAUGCAUUAAAUAUGACCGGGCCAAAACGGACAUGGCAGCAGGUCAAAAUCAAUAUCUGCAGAAUGCAGUGAAAAAGAAUACCCAGAGACAAGGCACGGGUGGUGGGUCACCAAAAGCUGACCUCAUCCCAGCAGAGGCCAGCUUUGGAGCUAAAUAAAGGCAGGCCUGUUGGAGGGGAUCCCUGGGGGAAAAGAGACAAGCAUAGGUCCCUCACAAGAUGCCACCCGCUUCAUACAAGUGUCUGGCAGCACUGUGUUACUGUUAAAGCCACCAGCACGAGCACCAGACGAUGCUGAUCCAGUGAGUACUCCAUCAAAGGCAUACUGUAGGCCUGGCAUGUCUUGUCUACUAGCUUCAAUAUGAAUCCGAUUAAAUGUGAUGGGGUCAAGGCCCCAUUUCAUCAGCACAUAACGGCGAUGAUGAUGAGGAGACCAUCUCGCUGGAUUCCAAAAGGCAUAAGGACCCAGAGUCAUUGGUGCACUGGACUGCACAAACAUAAGGAUAAAAGCCCCCUCAGUCCAUGACUCCAGAAUCUUUUGGACCUCUGAAAUAUAUCAGCGCCUAUCACAAGGUGAAUUCUCUGGUGUGUUGCUGGUAGACAGGGGGUAAGGCUGCCAGCCGUUUUUCCUGACACCUUUCACAGACCCCCAGGAAGCACAGCAGGCCUACAACUAUGCCCAUGCUAGGGCCAGAGUUGAAAUGACCUUUGGCCUCCUGAAGGCACGCUCUCACUGCCUUCACAAAUUAAGGGUCAGCCCUGUGAGGGCAUGUGACAUUACUGUGGCUGGUGGUGUCCUCCACAAUGUGGCCUGCCUGAGGAAGGAGAGGGCACCCAGAGUGCCGCCAGCCAUGGACUGGGACAAUCCGAAAAUCUUCCCUGAUGACAACAGUGGUCGGCUGCUGAGGGACCAAUAUGUGUUGAAUUAUUUUAGUCAGUAUGUGUGCUUUCACAUUUUUUUGAUGUUUGUGCUGUAUACUGUGUGUAUACUGUUUGUAAUACAAGCUUGCAGGGAGGCUACUGCAUCCAUUAAUUGUCUUGUUUUCAGUUGUCUGAAAUUGUCUGUUCAGUUAAUGUGUAUGGAUUUGUCCUGCAUUUAUUUCAGUGUGCAGA